GAGGCUGUAGCUCAGUGGUGGAGCACUUGCCUUGCACAUAUGAGGCACUGGGUUCAACCCUCAGCACCACA
rnacentral:tRNA from 1 species